GACAGAAGGUGCAAGCGUUACUCGGAAUUACUGGGCGUAAAGCGUCUGUAGGUGUCUUUCCACGUCUGGCGUUAAAUCGCGGGGCUCAACCCCGCAACUACGCUGGAAACGAGAGAGAUCGAGUCACUCAGAGGCAUCUGGAAUGUCGUGUGUAGGGGUAAAAUCCGUAGAUACACGAUGGAACGCCAAAAGCGAAGGCAGGAUGCUAGGAGUGUACUGACACUCAGAGACGAAAGCGUGGGGAGCAAAGGGG
rnacentral:rRNA from 1 species